UACGUAGGGUGCAAGCGUUAAUCGGAAUUACUGGGCGUAAAGCGCACGUAGGUGGUUUGUUAUGUCGGAUGUGAAAGCCCUCGGCUCAACUGAGGAAGUGCAUCCGAAACUGGCAAGCUAGAGUAUGUAAGAGGGUCGCGGAAUUCCCGGUGUAGAGGUGAAAUUCGUAGAUAUCGGGAGGAACACCGGUGGCGAAGGCGGCGACCUGGGACAAUACUGACACUGAGGUGCGAAAGCGUGGGGAGCAAACAGG
rnacentral:rRNA from 1 species